UGGGGAAUAUUGGACAAUGGGCGCAAGCCUGAUCCAGCCAUGCCGCGUGAGUGAUGAAGGCCCUAGGGUUGUAAAGCUCUUUCACCGGUGAAGAUAAUGACGGUAACCGGAGAAGAAGCCCCGGCUAACUUCGUGCCAGCAGCCGCGGUAAUACGAAGGGGGCUAGCGUUGUUCAGAUUUACUGGGCGUAAAGCGCACGUAGGCGGACUAUUAAGUCAGGGGUGAAAUCCCGGGGCUCAACCCCGGAACUGCCUUUGAUACUGGUAGUCUUGAGUUCGAGAGAGGUGAGUGGAAUUCCGAGUGUAGAAGUGAAAUUCGUAGAUAUUCGGAGGAACACCAGUGGCGAAGGCGGCUCACUGGCUCGAUACUGACGCUGAGGUGCGAAAGCGUGGGGAGCAAACAGG
rnacentral:rRNA from 1 species